UACGGGAGGCAGCAGUGGGGAAUAUUGCACAAUGGGCGAAAGCCUGAUGCAGCUAUGCCGCGUGUAUGAAGAAGGCCUUAGGGUUGUAAAGUACUUUCAUCGGGGAGGAAAACAAAACUAAUAAUUUUAUUUCUUGACGUUACCCGAAAAAGAAGCACCGGCUAACUCCGUGCCAGCAGCCGCGGUAAUACGGAGGGUGCUAGCGUUAAUCAGAAUUACUGGGCGUAAAGAGCACGUAGGUGGUUUUUUUAAAGUCAGAUGUGAAAAUCCCCUGGGCUUAACCUAGGAACUGCAUUUUUGAAAACUGAAAUACUAGAGUAUCGUAGAGGGAGGUAGAAUUCUAGGUGUAGCGGUGAAAUGCGUAGAUAUCUGGAGGAAUACCUGUGGCGAAAAGCGGCCUCCUAAACGAAUACUGACACUGAGGUGCGAAAAGCGUGGGGAGCAAACAGGGAUUAGAUACC
rnacentral:rRNA from 1 species